rnacentral:rRNA from 1 species
UUCCGGUUGAUCCCGCCGGACCCGACUGCUAUCAGAAUAGGACUAAGCCAUGCGAGUCAACGUAGCAAUACGUGGCAUACGGCUCAGUAACACGUAGUCAACAUGCCCAGGGGACGUGGAUAACCUCGGGAAACUGAGGAUAAACCGCGAUAGGUCAUAAUAUCUGGAAUGAUUUAUGGCUAAAAUCUACAUGGCCCCUGGAUUGGACUGCGGCCGAUCAGGCUGUUGGUGAGGUAAUGGCCCACCAAACCUAAAACCGGUACGGGCUCUGAGAGGAGAAGCCCGGAGAUGGGCACUGAGACAAGGGCCCAGGCCCUAUGGGGCGCAGCAGGCGCGAAAACUCUGCAAUAAGCGAAAGCUUGACAGGGUUAUUCUGAGUGAUUUCCGCUAAGGAGAUCUUUUGGCACCUCUAAAAAUGGUGCAGAAUAAGGGGUGGGCAAGCCUGGUGUCAGCCGCCGCGGUAAUACCAGCACCCCGAGUGGUCGGGACGAUUAUUGGGCCUAAAGCAUCCGUAGCCGGUUCUACAAGUCUUCCGUUAAAUCCACCUGCUUAACAGUUGGGCUGCAGAGGAUACUAUAGAGCUAGGAGGCGGGAGAGGCAAGCGGUACUUAGUGGGUAGGGGUAAAAUCCGUUGAUCCACUGAAGACCACCAGUGGCGAAGGCGGCUUGCCAGAACGCGCUCGACGGUGAGGGAUGAAAGCUGGGGGAGCAAACCGGAUUAGAUACCCGGGUAGUCCCAGCUGUAAACGAUGCAGACUCGGUGAUGAAUAGGCUUCGUGCCUAUUCAGUGCCGCAGGAAGCCGUUAAGUCUGCCGCCUGGGGAGUACGGUCGCAAGACUGAAACUUAAAGGAAUUGGUGGGGGAGCACCACAAGGGGUGAAGCCUGCGGUUCAAUUGGAGUCAACGCCGGAA